GACGAACGCUGGCGGCGUGCUUAACACAUGCAAGUCGAACGGAAAGGCCCUGCUUUUGUGGGGUGCUCGAGUGGCGAACGGGUGAGUAACACGUGAGUAACCUGCCCUUGACUUUGGGAUAACUUCAGGAAACUGGGGCUAAUACCGGAUAGGAGCUCCUGCUGCAUGGUGGGGGUUGGAAAGUUUCGGCGGUUGGGGAUGGACUCGCGGCUUAUCGGCUUGUUGGUGGGGUAGUGGCUUACCAAGGCUUUGACGGGUAGCCGGCCUGAGAGGGUGACCGGCGACAUUGGGACUGAGAUACGGCCCAGACUCCUACGGGAGGCAGCAGUGGGGAAUAUUGCACAAUGGGCGGAAGCCUGAUGCAGCAACGCCGCGUGCGGGAUGACGGCCUUCGGGUUGUAAACCGCUUUCGCCUGUGACGAAGCGUGAGUGACGGUAAUGGGUAAAGAAGCACCGGCUAACUACGUGC
rnacentral:rRNA from 1 species